GAUGAACGCUGGCGGCGUGCCUAAUACAUGCAAGUCGAGCGAACAGACGAGGAGCUUGCUCCUCUGACGUUAGCGGCGGACGGGUGAGUAACACGUGGAUAACCUACCUAUAAGACUGGGAUAACUUCGGGAAACCGGAGCUAAUACCGGAUAAUAUAUUGAACCGCAUGGUUCAAUAGUGAAAGACGGUUUUGCUGUCACUUAUAGAUGGAUCCGCGCCGCAUUAGCUAGUUGGUAAGGUAACGGCUUACCAAGGCAACGAUGCGUAGCCGACCUGAGAGGGUGAUCGGCCACACUGGAACUGAGACACGGUCCAGACUCCUACGGGAGGCAGCAGUAGGGAAUAUUCCGCAAUGGGCGCAAGCCUGACGGAGCAACGCCGCGUGAGUGAUGAAGGUCUUCGGAUCGUAAAACUCUGUUAUUAGGGAAGAACAAAUGUGUAAGUAACUAUGCACGUCUUGACGGUACCUAAUCAGAAAGCCACGGCUAACUACGUG
rnacentral:rRNA from 1 species